GAUGAACGCUGGCGGCGUGCCUAAUACAUGCAAGUCGAGCGAACGGACGAGAAGCUUGCUUCUCUUCUGUUAGCGGCGGACGGGUGAGUAACACGUGGAUAACCUACCUAUAAGACUGGGAUAACUUCGGGAAACCGGAGCUCAUACCGGAUAAUAUUUUGAACCGCAUGGUUCAAAAGUGAACGACGGUCUUGCUGUCCCUUAUAGAUGGAUCCGCGCUGCAUUAGCUAGUUGGUAAGGUAACGGCUUACCAAGGCAACGAUGCAUAGCCGACCUGAGAGGGUGAUCGGCCACACUGGAACUGAGACACGGUCCAGACUCCUACGGGAGGCAGCAGUAGGGAAUCUUCCGCAAUGGGCGAAAGCCUGACGGAGCAACGCCGCGUGAGUGAUGAAGGUCUUCGGAUCGUAAAACUCUGUUAUUAGGGAAGAACAUAUGUGUAAGUAACUGUGCACAUCUUGACGGUACCUAAUCAGAAAGCCACGGCUAACUACGUG
rnacentral:rRNA from 1 species